GACGAACGCUGGCGGCGCGCUUAACACAUGCAAGUCGAACGGAAAGGCCUGCUUUCCCUUGUGGAUUGCGGGUACUCGAGUGGCGAACGGGUGAGUAACACGUGAGUGAUCUGCCCCCAACUUGGGUAUAAGCCUGGGAAACUGGGUCUAAUUCCCGAUAGGACUGCAGGGUGGUGCCUGUGGUGGAAAACGAUUUUCUAGUGGUUGGGGAUGAGCUCGCGGCCUAUCAGCUUGUUGGUGGGGUAAUGGCCUACCAAGGCGGCGACGGGUAGCCGGCCUGAGAGGGUGGACGGCCACAUUGGGACUGAGAUACAGCCCAGACUCCUACGGGAGGCAGCAGUGGGGAAUAUGGCACAAUGGGCGGAAGCCUGAUGCAGCGACGCCGCGUGGGGGAUGACGGCCUUCGGGUUGUAAACUCCUUUCGACCGCGAGGAAGCCACCUGGUUGGAAGGGUGGUGACGGUAGUGGUAGAAGAAGCACCGGCUAACUACGUG
rnacentral:rRNA from 1 species